UACGUAGGGUGCAGGCGUUAAUCGGAAUUACUGGGCGUAAAGCGUGCGCAGGCGGUUUCUUAAGUCAGAUGUGAAAGCCCCGGGCUUAACCUGGGAACUGCGUUUGAAGCUGGGAGACUUGAGUGUGGCAGAGGGGGGUGGAAUUCCACGUGUAGCAGUGAAAUGCGUAGAUAUGUGGAGGAACACCGAUGGCGAAGGCAGCCCCCCUGGGUUAACACUGACGCUCAUGCACGAAAGCGUGGGGGAGCAAACAGG
rnacentral:rRNA from 1 species